GUCUGCAGAGUCUAGAUUUGUCACUAAUGCGCUGGUCUGAAAUAAAAGUAAAUCAUUUAGACGAUCAUUACACACAAAGAUUUUCCGUUCUUAGGAAUUGGGUGGAGUGUUCUAGAGCUAUUUUCAUGAAGUUUUGAAGGUGCGGAAAUGAUGUUAUCAAUGGAAAUUGAAGAAGAGGAUGAUGAUGAUGAUGAUGAUGAUGAUAAAAAUGGAGAUGCUAAUAGCAGAGGUGAUGGAAUAAACAUUUGUUGCCAAGGAUAGAUGCCACACCACUGAUAAGAAAAAUUCAGCAGAGACACUGGACCAAAGUUUGUGGUGGUGCUGUGGCUUAUGGUCAAAGCGCCUGCCUCGUAAACAGUGGUGCCUGGUGUUCAUUGUGCUCCGGCAUAGCUCAAAGCAUUGUGUUACCAGCGCAAAAGGUUAUGGGUCGAACCCAGGGAACACACAUGAUAAAAAAAUGGCUCUAUAAUGGAUGCUUUUGUUUUGAAUAUAGGGGCCGGUCAGUGCCUUUUUAUUCAUUGUUCAAGUCAAGUAGCUCUGCAGUGUUGCACCUACUGAAGAUGUGUGUUUACUUGUUUGUUUUCUGAUAGCAUAGCUUUCAGAAUAUUCUUUAAGUUUUGCUAACAAUGUUUGGUGGGUCAUUCCUACAAUUUGAUAAUUUUGACUUUUGGGAAAUGAAACAUUCUUUUUUGUUAGGUUAAUUAUAAAAGGGACAUUUACAUUUAACAAGGACGAUUAAAAAUGUAAAUUUCAUAACAUACAUUUUAAUAAACUUUCACUUUGCAAGUGCAUUUUAAAAUGGAGCUUGUGAGGAAAAUGACUAUCCAUUUAAAAAAAAAACAUCUAAAAUUAAUACAAUUUGAACUUCAGGUGGAUAAAAGAAACAUAUUAAAGAACUCUUUUAGGAUAAAAACAGAAUUAUUUCAGCUGACGUUUAAUAUAAAUACCACAAUUUACAUUGGGGACUUUUAGGGACGUAAAAUUACUGAAUUGCAGGAAUGACUCUUAUGCAAUAUUUGCAUAUUUAUAUUCUUAUAGGAAUGUAAAUGUGUUCAAACAGUGUAUAUAGUGUAAACAUGAUGCACAUAGUGUACAUGUAAAUGAGAUGUAAUGUUCUGUCUGAAUAUAAACAGUAAUAUAUGUUACUCUUUAUAUCUGACAGCUUGGUAUAGUUAUAAAGUAUAGUGCUUGUAUAAUGAGUAAUAACUACAGUAAUGCUCAUUAGAUAGGCCUAAAUAUAAGGUCCAGCUCAAAGUGAAGGCCAGCUGAUGUAAGAUAAGAGGGAUUCAUGUACUGCAUCUCAAUGUUACACUUGGUUAUGUGGCAGGGGAUUUUAGCAAGUGAUCUGUCCCAGUGUUACAGUGAUGUUUUUAAGAAUGUCAUGAUUGCAGAUUGAUUUGUGUUCCUCGUCUGCUGUCAAACUGUUUCUCUGUGACUAUAAUACAGUCACAGAGAAACAGUUUGACAGCAGACGAGGAACACAAAUCAAUUUAUAACACUUAUAAAGCUAAAAGCCACACGGAAACCCCCACUAAAUAAAAGUUGUGUGAAACCUGA